rnacentral:lncRNA from 1 species
GUGGGUUUGACUGGGUUGGGUUAAGUGGGCCGGGUUAGGGUGGUUUUUGAUUUUUUUACUGUUGGGCCCGGACCGGCCCGGCCCACUUAGACCCUAAUCCGGCCCCGACCAGGCCCUCAAUCCGGUUAAAUAACACGGGCCGGUUUCGGGUUGGCUCGGCCCGGCCCACUUGACAGCCAUAGUCUAAGUAGGUAUGGGUAUGCUUAUGGCUUGCCACAAUGAACCUUUCGUGAAUUUUUGUAGUGCCCCGAUUCUCGAGAAUCAGAACGCC